rnacentral:rRNA from 1 species
CCCUUAGAUGUUCUGGGCCGCACGCGCGCUACACUGAUGCAUUCAACGAGCCUAUCCUUGACCGACAGGUCCGGGUAAUCUUUGAAUCUGCAUCGUGACGGGGAUAGAUUAUUGCAAUUAUUAAUCUUCAACGAGGAAUGCCUAGUAGGCGCAAGUCAUCAGCUUGCGUCGAUUACGUCCCUGCCCUUUGCACACACCGCCCGUCGCUCCUACCGAUUGGGUGUGCUGGUGAAAUGUUCGGAUCGGCCGUUUGUCGCGGUUUCCGCGUCAUGUGGCUGAGAAGUUCAUUAAACCCUCCCACCUAGAGGAAGGAGAAGUCGUAACA